rnacentral:rRNA from 1 species
GACAGAGGUGCCGAGCGUUAGGCGGAAUCACUGGGCUUAAAGCGUGUGUAGGCGGACGUCUAAGUACCUUGUGAAAUCCCACGGCUCAACCGUGGAACUGCUCGGUAUACUGGUCGUCUUGAGCCACUUAGGGGCAGUCGGAACAGACGGUGGAGCGGUGAAAUGCGUAGAUAUCGUCUGGAACGCCGAAGGUGAAAACAGCUCGCUGGGGCUGCGCUGGACGCUGAGACACGAAAGCCAGGGGAGCGAACGGG